rnacentral:rRNA from 1 species
UACGUAGGGGGCUAGCGUUGUCCGGAAUCAUUGGGCGUAAAGCGCGCGUAGGCGGCCCUGUUAGUCCGCUGUAAAAGUCAAAGGCUCAACCUUUGAAAGCCGGUGGAUACUGUGAGGCUAGAGUACGGAAGAGGCGAGUGGAAUUCCUGGUGUAGCGGUGGAAUGCGCAGAUAUCAGGAGGAACACCAAUAGCGAAGGCAGCUCGCUGGGACGUUACUGACACUGAGGCGCGAAAGCGUGGGGAGCGAACAGGA